rnacentral:lncRNA from 1 species
CAUUGGUGCUAUAGUACUAUGAUUGCUGGUUUAAUAAUUGCCUUGGCAUUCUUGAGGAUCAAAAUGCUACGGAAAUACAAGUUAUAAUGUAGUUAUAUAAAAUUAGAGCGGCAGUAAAAAUGAGAGUGGGCUAGCGGCAGGAGAGGAUACAUGAGAAAACAAUUCCUAAGCUGAAAUGUGGAUUAAAGGUUCAUUUAGGCAGGUUGCUAUGUAACUCUGGACUGACCACAAGCAUGUUAAGGCAGCAUUCAGCUUCUCUGUAAAACAUUUGCUGGUCCACAGGAAGAGUUUGUUGCAUUAAGUAAUUUAUGGGGUGCUAAGAAGUUCCUUAAGCUAUUAUUAAAAACAUACAAAAUCUUCCCUGGUUAGGAUUCUAGUAACUCAGACUUCUAACUAAGCAGAACUGAUAGGGCAGGCCUUUUGAUGUUUAAUGAGUUCUGAAGCAGAUGUGAGAUGUGAUAGACAGGGGAGCCGGGGUGAUUUAGUGCUCAUGAAACAAAAUGAUGAGAUCCCCUCCUGAAAAAGAAAAUGUAGCUAAAAAGGACAGAUUUUUUUUUCCUUCUCUCUCUUUUUUUUUUUUUUUUCUUCCUUCUCAGUGCAUGUGUUUUUGAUUUCCUCACCCCGUGCCUCUCAGUGCUGGCUCGUUUCCAUUCAAACACACACAGAACACUGAAAACUAAUUAGCCCUGGAUGCAGCCACAGGAAGUUAGCCUGCCAAGUCCCCUUUCCCCCACAAUUCCUCAACUUUCUCAGCUUGCCUCAGGCCAACGGCCUUGCACUGGGCCUCUCUGUGGAACCAAAGAGAACUUCACCAUCCUGUAAAACUUGAAAGUCCCUCCUCUCCAAGACUUUUCUUGAAGGUUAACAAAUUUUCCCGAGAGCCAGAGAACUACAGGUGUCAACCAUUUUCAAGCAUCUCAUUUCAAAGCAGAGCCCACCACAAUCCCAAUGUGAGAAGCCAGAAUCUGAUUAGAAGAAAGCAGUGGGCUGGAUGCCAAUCUACAGUGGGCAGAGCCAUGACACAUGCAACUUAACUAGAAAAUACCAGCGUGGCUGCAAAGUUCUGGAGGUCUAGAAACAUUCAGGCCAGUGUCCAGAUCCCACCUGACUGUGAAAAGUCUUCAGAGGAAGACUUGAGGACCCUGUAGUACAAUGCAUGACAAAAGAGAAGAGUCUAAUUUGACCUUUUUCUGUCCUAUUUGGAUUUCCAGGAGUUAGAAAGUGUCUUAAUCCCUCAAGUAC